rnacentral:rRNA from 1 species
UACGGGGGGGGGUAAGCGUUGUUCGGAUUUACUGGGCGUAAAGGGCGCGUAGGCGGCCACCGCAAGUCAAUUGUGAAAUCUCCGGGCUUAACUCGGAAAGGUCAACUGAUACUGCGGGGGCUAGAGUGCGGAAGGGGCAACUGGGAAUUCUCGGUGUAGCGGUGAAAUGCGUAGAUAUCGAGAGGAACACCUGCGGCGAAGGCGGGUUGCUGGGCUGACACUGACGCUGAGGCGCGAAAGCUAGGGGAGCGAACGGG